GGGGAUUUAGCUCAGUGGUAGAGCGCUUGCCUAGGAAGCGCAAGGCCCUGGGUUCGAUCCCCAGUUCCG
rnacentral:tRNA from 1 species